rnacentral:tRNA from 1 species
GAGGAUAUAGCGCAGGUGGUAGAGCACAUGCUUAGCAUGCACGAGGUCCUGGGUUCAAUCUCCAGUACCUCCU